rnacentral:lncRNA from 1 species
AUGACAAUUAUCUCAAAAUCUAAAAUUAUGUGUGUGAAAAAAAACCUGCAACUUGGUCGUUGUAUUACCUAUGGUUCCAGUUGAGCGAUUCAGGCUGAGUUUAUUGGAGUGUCCAGUUUUAAUACAAACUGCGUAAUUAUACGUGAUUCAUAAUUCAAUGGAUAUUUUUUAUACCUUGAUGCACAAUACUAUUUUAUAUUAUAAAAGCAGCAG